CAGCUUGUGCUGUAUUGAGGAUUCCUCCAUGAUCACGCACCCCGUUUAUACAUCAUGCUUGGAAAGGAGUGUGCAGACCAAUAAUGGACGUACUUGUGAUGAUUUGAAGAUGCCUCUGAGGUCACAUGCUCUGUUUGCACCAUGCUUAGGAAGGAGCAUACAGAUCAAUAAUGGACAGACUUGCUCUGAUUUGAGGACUUCUUCAUGAUCACGUGUUCUGUUUGCACCAUGCUUAGGAAGGAGCAUGGGUACCAAUGUGAGUAACGGUCAGAUUUCUUGUAUUUCUUUGGGUGGUUUAUGUAAGAGUACUAUAAAUACAUAUGUGAUGUACUAUAUAUACAUAUGUAAUAUAAUCAAAGAUGGUGAAUUGUAUCUAGUGAGAGAUAUGGGAGUCAGAAGUAUUACAUUGACAAUUCACAUAUGAAAAACGGGACAAUAAUGAAACAUAUAUUA